CUCUUUGCUGUAAUGGGGGAAGCUGUGCACUUUGACAACAGAAACUCACAGGUGUUGACGUCAAGAAUAGAAAUGAAGGUCAUUGCUCCUAUCCAGCAGUAAGUAUUUUGGAAGAACAGACUAAGGAAGGAGCUAAUGAUACUCCUGGCCUAAAAGAAGAUCAAGUCCUUUUUCAAUGAAUAAUUUGACCUGAAUUAAAUCCUUCGUUGUUAUAAUGUGGCCACAAAAAAUGUGCCAAGGACAGCUAAGAACAUGAAAAUCAUUUCUAGAAAGGCCUCUUUAUGCACAGCUUUUACUUGCGCACUUCAUGUGAAAAGCUCAAAGUAUAUUAUGGAUUUAGCCAAACUGAUGGUGGUCUCCAAAGGACACGUUUCUGGAUGCAGAACAUCUCUUAUCUAAACCCCUAGAGGACUGGAAAGAGACAAGUAUGGCUUCACUACCUGCAGUGAAACUUCUGUGCCAUUGGAUGCAACAACAAAACACUGGCUUUUUGCAUUCACUGAAGCAGUAGUAGUACCAAAGCUGCAAGGAAAUAUUUAAACACUAAUUAACUUCGUACUUCUGUGUGUGGGCAGGCGCUUUCUAUCCCCUGGAGCACAACUGAUUUUCGAGUUGCUGGAUAAAAGCAGAUCACACUGCUUCCCCAGCAAGCUGUCUGUUUUACAGUACCCCAACAAACACGCGCCAGUCCCUCGAGCUGGAGUGAGCUGGUGGUGAUCAUCUGGCACAAACUCAGCCCGAAGCAGUCACCCCAUGAGGUUUUCCUUUUCGAUUUUUCCAGUGAACUGAAAUCUGUGUGGUAUUGCUGAAGCUGAUCUGAUUUUCCCUGGGAGGUGGUUCGGCGUGCAGCUAGACUUUGUGUUAGUGGUUAUUAAAAUUGCGUGCCUUUC
rnacentral:lncRNA from 7 species